rnacentral:rRNA from 1 species
AGCGAACGCUGGCGGCAGGCCUAACACAUGCAAGUCGAACGAACCUUCCGGGGUUUGUGGCGGAUGGGUGAGUGACACGUGGGAACGUGUAUUUAGGUACGGGAUAACUCAGGGACACUUGUGCUAAUAACGAAUGUGCCCUUCGGCGUAAAGAUUUAUCGCGGUUAGAGCGGCCCGCGUCUGAUUAGCAAGUUGGUUGAGGUAAUGGCUCACCAAGGCGACGGUGUGUAGAUGGGCUGUGAGGAUGAGCAGCCACAUCUGGACUGAGACACGGCCCGAACUCUUCGGCAAGGGAGCAAAGGGUAAUCUUGCCCAAUGGGCGGAAGGCUGACGCAACCAUGGCGCGUAAAUAAUGAAGGUCGGAGGAUUGUAAAAUUCUUUCACCGGGGACGAUAAUGACGGUACCCGAAGAAGAAGCCCCGGCUAACUUCGUG